rnacentral:rRNA from 1 species
UACGUAGGUGGCGAGCGUUGUCAGGAUUUACUGGGCGUAAAGGGAGCGUAGGCGGACUUUUAAGUGAGAUGUGAAAUACUCGGGCUCGACUUGAGUGCUGCAUUUCAAACUGGAAGUCUAGAGUGCAGGAGAGGAGAAUGGAAUUCCUAGUGUAGCGGUGAAAUGCGUAGAGAUUAGGAAGAACACCAGUGGCGAAGGCGAUUCUCUGGACUGUAACUGACGCUGAGGCUCGAAAGCGUGGGGAGCAAACAGG